ACUCCUACGGGAGGCAGCAGUGGGAAUAUUGCACAAUGGGCGCAAGCCUGAUACGCAGCCAUGCCGCGUGUGAUGAAGCAGCUUCGGGUUGUAAAGCACUUUCAGUUGUGAGGAAAGGUUAGUCGCUAAUAUCGGCUAGCUGUGACGUUAGCAACAGAAGAAGCACCGGCUAACUCCGUGCCAGCAGCCGCGGUAAUACGGAGGGUGCGAGCGUUAAUCGGAAUUACUGGGCGUAAAGCGCGUGUAGGUGGCUUGUUAAGCCAGAUGUGAAAGCCCGCCGUCAACCUGGGAACUGCAUUUGGAACUGGCAGGCUAGAGUUUUGUAGAGGGUGGUAGAAUUUCAGGUGUAGCGGUGAAAUGCGUAGAGAUCUGAAGGAAUACCGGUGGCGAAGGCGACCACCUGGCCAAUAACUGACACUGAGACGCGAAGGCGUGGGUAGCAAACGGGAUUAGAUACCCUGGUAGGACAGU
rnacentral:rRNA from 1 species